ensembl:snRNA U6 U6 spliceosomal RNA
GUGCUCACUUUGGCAGCACGUUUGCUAAAAUUGGAAAGACAGAGAAGAUUGGCCUGGCCCCUGUGCAAGGAUGCCGUGCAAAUUCACAAAGCAUUCCGUAUUUUU